rnacentral:rRNA from 1 species
CCUACGGGUGACAGCAGUGAGGAAUAUUGGUCAAUGGACGAGAGUCUGAACCAGCCAAGUAGCGUGAAGGAUGACUGCCCUAUGGGUUGUAAACUUCUUUUAUAUGGGAAUAAAAUGUUCCACGUGUGGGAUUUUGUAUGUACCAUAUGAAUAAGGAUCGGCUAACUCCGUGCCAGCAGCCGCGGUAAUACGGAGGAUCCGAGCGUUAUCCGGAUUUAUUGGGUUUAAAAGGAGCGUAGGUGGAUUGUUAAGUCAGUUGUGAAAGUUUGCGGCUCAACCGUAAAAUUGCAGUUGAAACUGGCAGUCUUGAGUACAGUAGAGGUGGGCGGAAUUCGUGGUGUAGCGGUGAAAUGCUUAGAUAUCACGAAGAACUCCGAUUGCGAAGGCAGUUCACUGGACUGCAACUGACACUGAGGCUCGAAAGUGUGGGUAUCAAACAGGAUUAGAUACCCCUGUAGUC